AUACCUUUCUCGGCCUUGUGGCUAAGAUCAAGUGUAGUAUCUGUUCUUAUCAGUUUAGUAUCUGAUAUGUGGUGGCCAUUGGCUCACACGGUAUUAUAUUUAUUUUUUGAGGUGGGAGUGGCAACCAUAGUAGCUAGCUACUGGAACUCUCAUGCGUCGCCCAUGCCUUGCACUGUUGCAAGGGCCUGGCGCGCCCCAU